GAUGAACGCUGGCGGCGUGCCUAAUACAUGCAAGUCGAGCGAACGGACGAGAAGCUUUCUUCUCUGAUGUUAGCGGCGGACGGGUGAGUAACACGUGGAUAACCUACCUAUAAGACUGGGAUAACUUCGGGAAACCGGAGCUAAUACCGGAUAAUAUUUUGAACCGCAUGGUUCAAAAGUGAAAGACGGUCUUGCUGUCACUUAUAGAUGGAUCCGCGCUGCAUUAGCUAGUUGGUAAGGUAACGGCUUACCAAGGCAACGAUGCAUAGCGGACCUGAGAGGGUGAUCGGCCAGACUGGAACUGAGACACGGUCCGGACCUCUACGGGAGGCAGCAGUAGGAGAUCUUCUGCAAUGCGCGAAAGCCUGACGGAUAAACGCCGCGUGAGUGAUGCAGGUCGUCGGAUCGUAAAGCUCUGUUAUGAGGGAAGAACAUAUGUGUAAGGAACUGUGCACAUCUUGACGGUACCCUAUCAGAAAGCCACGGCUAACUACGUG
rnacentral:rRNA from 1 species